rnacentral:snoRNA from 1 species
AUCCCAUGGUGUGGACACUUUCGUAGCAUAUUUUUGAACCAAUUCCAGGUUUCAUCGAAAUUUUCAGAGUCGCCUUGGCAAAAAAUAGAGAUGUUGUGCUUGAGCUU